rnacentral:tRNA from 1 species
GGGGGUUUAGCUCAGUUGGUGCAUCGCCUGCUUUGCAAGCAGGAUGUCCAGACUUCUAGCCUCCUAACCUCCG